rnacentral:lncRNA from 1 species
GUGUCCCAGGUGGCAUCCUCAGCUUGAUAGUUUUUCUGACUCGAUUAUCAACCAAGCCUUCUUCGCAGAGGAUGCCAUGACAUUCCGAUGAAUGGUUCUCUUUAAUUAAUCAAUUUCCAUUUAAGCCUCGCAAAAUGCCUUCUUGAUCUUCAACAUCUCUUCUUCUGAGCAGUAGCCUUCUUAUUCAAUUUCUUGACCC